CAAGAGCUUCUUGAAGGAGAUGUUAAUGCUUUGAUUGAUGUUGAAUUGAGUUCUCCCAUUGAUGUUGAAUUAAUUUCAGAGCAGGUUAUUAGUAAAUUAUUCAAGCAGAAAUUUAGGGAUUAUUACUCGUUUCUCUAAAGCAUUAGCACAUCCGGGACUAGAAAGUGAAGGUUCUUCAGUCGGUGGUUCCAAUUAAAGAUGAAGAGGUUGUGAUUGGACAAUAA